AUUCCAGCUCCAAUAGCGUAUAUUAAAGUUGUUGCAGUUAAAAAGCUCGUAGUUGGAUUUCAGUCUUAGUUCGUCUGGCCCGCUCCCUUGAGGAGCCGAGUGCCGGUUGCGAAUUGGACUUCCUUCUAGCAUGAAUCUCCUACCGUUAUGCGGCCGGGAAGGACGUCUGGAUCAUUUACUUUGAAGAAAUUAGAGUGUUCAAAGCAAGCUUACGCUGUGAAUAUAUUAGCAUGGAAUAAUAACAUAGGACUCGGGUUCUAUUUUGUUGGUUUCUAGGACUCAAGUAAUGAUUGAUAGGGACAGUUGGGGGUGCUGCUAUUAUAUGGCCAGAGGUGAAAUUCACGGAUUCAUAUAAGAGCAACUUAUGCGAAAGCAUUCACCAAGGAUGUCUUCAUCA
rnacentral:rRNA from 1 species